rnacentral:misc_RNA from 1 species
UCAUCUUUCUCUCACAAUAGAUAUCUUGAAGAGGUUGAGAAAUGCUCAAAACCAGGUUCAGUUAUCAAGAAGAAAGCUUAUUUUGAAGCCCAUUUCAAGCAAAAGGGUAUGCAACUACCAGCUUCUUUUGGGGGGCAAAAUGGGAUAGAAUACCAUGGUGAAAAUGCUGUUUUUGAAAAUGUGGGCCACAAAGAAGAAGAUGAUAAUGCAAAUGGAAGUAGCAAUUAUACUCAGUUUGAGGAGGGUGCACUUGAGAAUGUGGAAUAUGCAGAAUUUUAUGAUGGAUAUGCAAGAGGUCAAUUUGAUCAUGCAAAUGAUAGCGGCCAAUAUGCUCACUUUGAUGACAGCCCUGAAGGGUCAGAGUAUUGUGGAGAAUGCCAGGUGAUGGAAUGUGAAAGAGAAGAUCCUGAAUCUCAGAUUGAAGCUUCUUCAGUCAAUGCUAAUGUUUUUGUAGAAGGUGUCUUUGAAGACAUUAAACCUCAAGAAGCACAUCAAACUGUAACUGGACCUGACAAUAAUGAAAGACAAGAAAUAGGAAUAAAGGAGAACCUUAAUGACAAUGCUGCUAAUGUGGACACGUCAUCUAGGCCUUUUGACCCAUCCCCAAAAAGUGGAACACUUGGGAGUGAUAAAACUACUGCAGUACAUCAGCAAAAUCUUUCUCCAAAGUUGCGAGUUCCAAUGGAAAGUAAACAUAGCGAGCCCAGAUUGAAGUCCCAGGCUAAUGCCAAUCAAGUCCAGAAAGCCAAUCAAAAUGAUGCAUUAAAAACAACUGUG